rnacentral:rRNA from 1 species
CCCUUAGAUGUUCUGGGCCGCACGCGCGCUACACUGAUUCAUGCAUCAAGUAUACAACCUUGGUCGAAAGGCUUGGGUAAUCUUUGAAACUGAAUCGUGCUGGGGAUUGGAGCUUGUAACUAUUCUCCAUGAACGAGGAAUUCCUAGUAAACGCGAGUCAUCAGCUCGCAUUGAUUACGUCCCUGCCCUUUGUACACACCGCCCGUCGCACCUACCGAUUGAAUGGUCCGGUGAAAUCUUCGGACCGUGCGAUGUCCAGCAAUGGACGUUGCGUGGAAAGUCGCUUAAACCUUACCAUUUAGAGGAAGGUGAAGUCGUAACA